GAUGAACGCUGGCGGCGUGCCUAAUACAUGCAAGUCGAGCGAACAGACGAGGAGUUUGCUCCUCUGACGUUAGCGGCGGACGGGUGAGUAACACGUGGAUAACCUACCUAUAAGACUGGGAUAAUCUCGGGAAACCGGAGCUAAUACCGGAUAAUAUACUGCACCGCAUGGUUCAAUAGUGAAAGACGGCUUUGCUGUCACUUAUAGAUGGUUCCGGGCCGCAUUAGCUAGUUGGUAAGUUACCGGCUUACCAAGGCGACCAUGCUUAACCGACGUGAGAGGGUGUUCGGCCACUGAGAAGGUGAGAGGCGACACAGGGACCGAGGGGAGGCAGCGGUAGGUAAGCUACGGAGAUGGGCGAAAGCCUGACGGAGCAGCGGCAGGUGGAUGAUGAAGGUCUGCGGAUCGUAAAACGCUGUUAUUGGGGAAGAACAAAUGUGUAAGUAACGAUGCGCGAGUGAACGGAACCGAAACAGAAGGCCACGCCAAACUACGG
rnacentral:rRNA from 1 species